GGGGCCUUAGCUCAGUGCUAGAGCAUCUUUCUUGUGCAGAAGAAGUCCAAGUUUCAAUCCCCUGUAGCUCCU